AAUGGCGCGCAGCCUGAUAAGCCAUGCCGCGUGAGUGAUGAAGGCCUUAGGGUUGUAAAGCUCUUUUGUCCGGGAAGAUAAUGACUGUACCGGAAGAAUAAGCUCCGGCUAACUUCGUGCCAGCAGCCGCGGUAAUACGAAGGGGGCUAGCGUUGCUCGGAAUCACUGGGCGUAAAGGGCGCGUAGGCGGACUUUUAAGUCGGAGGUGAAA
rnacentral:rRNA from 1 species